AGCUUUGCAUGGUUCUCUGUAAGGUGGUAC
rnacentral:piRNA from 1 species